rnacentral:rRNA from 1 species
CGGCGAGUGAACCGGGAAGAGCUCAAAUUUGAAAUCUGGCGUCCUCAGGGCGUCCGAGUUGUAAUCUAUAGAGGCGUUUUCCGUGCCGGACCGUGUCCAAGUUCCUUGGAACAGGAUAUCAAAGAGGGUGACAAUCCCGUACUUGACACGACGACCGGUGCUCUGUGAUACGUCUUCUACGAGUCGAGUUGUUUGGGAAUGCAGCUCAAAAUGGGUGGUGAGUUCCAUCUAAAGCUAAAUAUUGGCGAGAGACCGAUAGCGAACAAGUACCGUGAGGGAAAGAUGAAAAGCACUUUGGAAAGAGAGUUAAACAGUACGUGAAAUUGUUGAAAGGGAAACGAUUGAAGUCAGUCGUGACCGAGAGGCUCAGCCGGUUCUGCCGGUGUAUUCCCCUCGGUCGGGUCAACAUCAGUUUUGUCCGGUGGAUAAGGGCGGUAGGAAGGUGGCACCCUCGGGUGUGUUAUAGCCUGCCGUCGCAUACAUCGGGUGAGACUGAGGAACGCAGCUCGCCUUUAUGGCCGGGGU